rnacentral:rRNA from 1 species
UACGGAGGGUGCGAGCGUUAAUCGGAAUUACUGGGCGUAAAGCGUGCGUAGGCGGCCUGCCAAGUCAGAUGUGAAAGCCCCGGGCUCAACCUGGGAACGGCAUUUGAAACUGGCAGGCUAGAGUUAGGUAGAGGGGAGUGGAAUUCCGGGUGUAGCGGUGAAAUGCGUAGAUAUCCGGAGGAACACCAGUGGCGAAGGCGGCUCCCUGGACCCAAACUGACGCUGAGGUACGAAAGCGUGGGUAGCAAACAGG